GAUGAACGCUGGCGGCGUGCCUAAUACAUGCAAGUCGAGCGAACGGACGAGAAGCUUGCUUCUCUGAUGUUAGCGGCGGACGGGUGAGUAACACGUGGAUAACCUACCUAUAAGACUGGGAUAACUUCGGGAAACCGGAGCUAAUACCGGAUAAUAUUUUGAACCGCAUGGUUCAAAAGUGAAAGACGGUCUUGCUGUCACUUAUAGAUGGAUCCGCGCUGCAUUAGCUAGUUGGUAAGGUAACGGCUUACCAAGGCAACGAUGCAUAGCCGACCUGAGAGGGUGAUCGGCCACACUGGAACUGAGACACGGUCCAGACUCCUACGGGAGGCAGCAGUAGGGAAUCUUCCGCAAUGGGCGAAAGCCUGACGGAGCAACGCCGCGUGAGUGAUGAAGGUCUUCGGAUCGUAAAACUCUGUUAUUAGGGAAGAACAUAUGUGUAAGUAACUGUGCACAUCUUGACGGUACCUAAUCAGAAAGCCACGGCUAACUACGUGCCAGCAGCCGCGGUAAUACGUAGGUGGCAAGCGUUAUCCGGAAUUAUUGGGCGUAAAGCGCGCGUAGGCGGUUUUUUAAGUCUGAUGUGAAAGCCCACGGCUCAACCGUGGAGGGUCAUUGGAAACUGGAAAACUUGAGUGCAGAAGAGGAAAGUGGAAUUCCAUGUGUAGCGGUGAAAUGCGCAGAGAUAUGGAGGAACACCAGUGGCGAAGGCGACUUUCUGGUCUGUAACUGACGCUGAUGUGCGAAAGCGUGGGGAUCAAACAGGAUUAGAUACCCUGGUAGUCCACGCCGUAAACGAUGAGUGCUAAGUGUUAGGGGGUUUCCGCCCCUUAGUGCUGCAGCUAACGCAUUACGCACUCCGCCUGGGGAGUACGACCGCAAGGUUGAAACUCAAAGGAAUUGACGGGGACCCGCACAAGCGGUGGAGCAUGUGGUUUAAUUCGAAGCAACGCGAAGAACCUUACCAAAUCUUGACAUCCUUUGACAACUCUAGAGAUAGAGCCUUCCCCUUCGGGGGACAAAGUGACAGGUGGUGCAUGGUUGUCGCCAGCUCGUGUCGUGAGAUGUUGGGUUAAGUCCCGCAACGAGCGCAACCCUUAAGCUUAGUUGCCAUCAUUAAGUUGGGCACUCUAAGUUGACUGCCGGUGACAAACCGGAGGAGGGUGGGGAUGACGUCAAAUCAUCAUGCCCCUUAUGAUUUGGGCUACACACGUGCUACAAUGGACAAUACAAAGGGCAGCGAAACCGCGAGGUCAAGCAAAUCCCAUAAAGUUGUUCUCAGUUCGGAUUGUAGUCUGCAACUCGACUACGUGAAGCUGGAAUCGCUAGUAAUCGUAGAUCAGCAUGCUACGGUGAAUACGUUCCCGGGUCU
rnacentral:rRNA from 1 species